rnacentral:rRNA from 1 species
UACGAAGGGGGCUAGCGUUGUUCGGAUUUACUGGGCGUAAAGCGCACGUAGGCGGAUCGUUAAGUCAGGGGUGAAAUCCUGGAGCUCAACUCCAUAACUGCCUUUGAUACUGGCGAUCUUGAGUCCGGAAGAGGUGAGUGGAACUCCUAGUGUAGAGGUGGAAUUCGUAGAUAUUAGGAAGAACACCAGUGGCGAAGGCGGCUCACUGGUCCGGUACUGACGCUGAGGUGCGAAAGCGUGGGGAGCAAACAGG